rnacentral:rRNA from 1 species
UACAGAGGGUGCGAGCGUUAAUCGGAGUUACUGGGCGUAAAGGGCGCGUAGGCGGUUAUAUGUGAGUGAUGUGAAAGCCCUGGGCUUAACCUAGGAAGCGCAUCGUUGACUAUAUAACUGGAGUACAAGAGAGGGUGGCGGAAUUUCCGGUGUAGCGGUGAAAUGCGUAGAUAGUCGGAAGGAACACCUGUGGCGAAAGCGGACUCACUGGACCAUUACUGACGCUGAGGCACGGAAAGCUAGGGGAGCAAACAGG